rnacentral:lncRNA from 1 species
GUGUGAUCUGGAUCCUGAUCCUUGGUUGAAACAUUCAGUGAAUGAAGGUCUGAGGGCCUUCCACUGUUUGGACAGGAAGGUAUUGGUAUGUAAGCCUGGAGCUCAGGGUAGUUAGUGUAAUUCAUGGUUCUGUGGUGAGUGGGACUCUGAAAUUUGGGGGAGGAAAGGGAAUACGAUGCAAAUGCCCACCACGCCCCUCUCACUCCUGUGGAAGAUUGAUGAUAUAAGGUGUUUCAGGGUGGUCUGGAGACUCUGAGGGCAAAGGGGUAACAUCCCAGGCCAGGAAGAACAGAGUGGCCAUAUCUUCCCUACGUUUUCAGAUCUUUAGAUAAACUAAAGCACAGUCCCAGGUCCCUCCUGUGAGUGGAGAUGGGAGUACUAGGUGAAACUUUAGACCUGGAAGGGAGAAUUUGCUCUCUGCCAGAGAAGAUGAGCUGCCCAUCUCAGCAGCUGUCCAGCAGAAGCCAGACAUCUCUUUGGGAAGGGAAGAAGGAGCUUGGCUGAAAUGGCCUUUAAGUUUCUUAUGCCUUAGCUGGGUGAGAUGUUAUGGAGCUGGGACCAUGUCUGAACUGCUUCCUUCCUUUCUGCAGAGCACAAAGCCAAGCAGCUUGUAAUUGGUUGGUGCAGGUUGAAGCCCCCGCUCUCCCACUGUCUCCCCAUGAUGCAGGCCAAGAUGCUGCCUCUAGUCAUACCUCUAGGGCUCACCCAAGCUGGUCAUCGCCAUAUAGCCCAGAGAGAGUAGCUUCUUUGCCAUAGAGCCCAUGCCCCCCCAAGACCUCUGAUGAGACCGGUCAUAAUUUAGACCUACUGGCCAGGAGGGCCCUUGGUGACAGCCAGGAAUCAGGAAUCAGUAAAGGCCAAGCAGGACCCAGAACACGGGUUUUGCUUCCCAUACACAUUAAUUCCAGAGGUGAAUUCUAACUCCUCCUCCUCCCCAAUCGAGGCCUGUUAGAGCAGAUUGAAAACACAAAAGCACAGCGACUCGGUGGACACGUGAUUAUAAGCGCCCCCCAGUGCAUCCAUUUCAUUGCCAGGUAGAUCCUGAAAUAGCCCAGGCUAAUCCAGUCUAACCCAUUAUUGGCAAUCAAACUUGAAAGCACUUUUCUUCCUUUUCAUUCCACCCUACAUCUUACCAGCUAAUGAAAGGCAGAGUCAGGGCUUCUACCAUUGCCUUGGCUACUGAACACCAUCACAGCCCUAGAAGGGCCAUCGCGGGGGUCCCAUCAACUGCAAGGAGACUGACAUGUUCACAUCCAUGGGGCAUAUGAUACUGCAUGAAUGCCAAGUCUCCACACUGUUUGCAGCCUCCUCUGUGAAUCCCAAUGGCCUGCACUUGUACAGUUUGGGUGUUUGAUAGAUAAAGCACGUAUGAGAAGAGAAAACAAAAUAAAUCAACUUUUUAAAAAAGCCAGCACUGUGCUGUCAAUGUUCAUUUUUUUUUUUCCUUUCCAAUUCUAGUUUAAAAAAAGCCGGAGGUAAAUAAUGUCAGGUCAAUGAAUAUCAGAUAUAUUUUUUGACUGUACAUUACAGUGAAGUGUAAUCUUUUUACACCUGCAAGUCCAUCUUAUUUAUUCUUGUAAAUGUUCCCUGACAAUGUUUGUAAUAUGGCUGUGUUGAAAACCUAUACAAUAAAGCUGUGACCCUGAGAUUCAUGUUUUCC